CAGUCGCCGCGGUAAUACGAAGGGUGCAAGCGUUACUCGGAAUUACUGGGCGUAAAGCGUGCGUAGGUGGUUGUUUAAGUCUGCUGUGAAAGCCCUGGGCUCAACCUGGGAAUUGCAGUGGAUACUGGGCGACUAGAGUAAGGUAGAGGAUAGUGGAAUUUCCGGUGUAGCAGUGAAAUGCGUAGAGAUCGGAAGGAACAUCUGUGGCGAAGGCGACUAUCUGGGCCAUUACUGACACUGAGGCACGAAAGCGUGGGGAGCAAACAGGAUUAGAUACCCCCGUAGUCCCUGUCUCUUAUAC
rnacentral:rRNA from 1 species